rfam:Picea glauca, whole genome shotgun sequence.
GUAAUGGUGUCUUUAGACACCACCCUUUAUCUUCAAAAUUAUGU